CCUACGGGAGGCAGCAGUGAGGAAUAUUGGUCAAUGGACGAGAGUCUGAACCAGCCAAGUAGCGUGAAGGAUGACUGCCCUAUGGGUUGUAAACUUCUUUUAUAAAGGAAUAAAACGCGGCACGUGUGCCUUUUUGCAUGUACUUUAUGAAUACGGAUCGGCUAACUCCGUGCCAGCAGCCGCGGUAAUACGGAGGAUCCGGGCGUUAUCCGGAUUUAGUGGGUGUAAAGGGAGCGUAGAUGGGUUGUUAAGUCAGUUGUGAAAGUUUGCGGCUCAACCGUAAAAUUGCAAUUGAUACUGGCAGUCUUGAGUACAGUUGAGGUAGGCGGAAUUCGUGGUGUAGCGGUGAAAUGCUUAGAUAUCACGAAGAACCCCGAUUGCGAAGGCAGCUUACUAAACUGUGACUGACAUUGAUGCUCGAAAGUGUGGGUAUCAAACAGGAUUAGAUACCCCUGUAGUC
rnacentral:rRNA from 1 species